rnacentral:snoRNA from 1 species
AGCCGCCAGUGUCCUUUCCCAUCAGCUCCCUCAACACUGGUUUCGGCGGUUACCAAAGGAGGGAAAGUCACAUUGAAGUGGACUUUUAUAGCACAUGGGUUAGCGUCCAGUAGUUAAUAAAAGA